GUAAGAAUUAUCCAAGUCUAUUGACAAGUUGAAACAUUUGAGAUAUCUCGACCUUACUAAUAGUAAUGAUAUAAAAUUCCUUCCAAAUUCCAUUACUGAAUUAUAUAAUUUGGAAACACUUAUCCUUCGGGGCUGCGAGGAAUUAAAAAUUGCAGACAUGCCUAACUUGAAGGGGCGGUGGAAAGAUGAAACAUUAGGGGAAUUAGCUCAAAAUAGUGUCUCGUUUCCAACAACGAUGUCUUGCCUUUCUAAGUUAACGGUUAAGCGUUGUGGUCAGUUGGCUUCCAUUCCAUGGUGUGCAGCCAAUUUGCAAUCAAUGAACAUAACAGGUGUUAACUUCCGGCUAUUUCAUUCGCUGCCGGAAGGGAUCCGCCAUCUCCACUCUUGCAACAGAUUUGGAUGAAUGGAUGCCCAAAAGAAAUGGAGAAGAUUGGCCUAAAAUCGCCCAUGUCCCGAGGGUUGAACUUGGAAGAUAACAGAAUAAUCAAUAAACCUUCAUCAGGUACGUGAAGCCAUCUCCCAACCAGCUCAUUUAUUAUUGUAAUUUCCUUCCCAAACUUCUAACUUUCAACCCUCAUUUCAAUUUCUUUACGGCCAUCGUAUUACAACAUCUUAUGCCAACCAUUGAAAUCAUCGCCACCAGAAGGGUUAAUGUGCCACCGCCUUGACCAUGAAGCCAGGCACAAAACUUGCAAACAGAUUCAAAAAGUUUGACAACAGCCAACCACAAAAUGGUUUAAUCUCUGUCAUUGGAACUGAAGGAUUGGGUUGGUUUCUGAACCACUUGCUUCUGAACAUAGGGUAAAAAGAACAUCUGUGGUAUAAACAAAUGAAGGUGGAAAAAGGAGAUGAAGGAGAUUACCCAAAGCAACAUGAGUGAACCAGACGAUGGUUGGAUUACGCUUUAAAGAUGAAUUUUUCAAUUUUCUCAUGUAAUAUUGUCAAUUGUCUAGAUAUUUAUCUUGCUAUAUAUCUUACCUCACAUGUCUCUAUUAUAUAUAUAUCUAUAUAUCUAUCGCGUGUCUCUAGUAGUGACUUGAGACUAGAGAAAACUUUGUGUGCCUAAUUAUUAUUGAUAGUGAAGAUUUUGAUUACGGUUC